CCUACGGGAGGCAGCAGUGAGGAAUAUUGGUCAAUGGACGAGAGUCUGAACCAGCCAAGUAGCGUGAAGGAUGACUGCCCUAUGGGUUGUAAACUUCUUUUAUAUGGGAAUAAAAUGUUCCACGUGUGGGAUUUUGUAUGUACCAUAUGAAUAAGGAUCGGCUAACUCCGUGCCAGCAGCCGCGGUAAUACGGAGGAUCCGAGCGUUAUCCGGAUUUAUUGGGUUUAAAGGGAGCGUAGGUGGAUUGGUAAGUCAGGUGUGAAAGUUUGCGGCUCAACCGUAAAAUUGCAGUUGAAACUGGCAGUCUUGAGUACAGUAGAGGUGGGCGGAAUUCGUGGUGUAGCGGUGAAAUGCUUAGAUAUCACGAAGAACUCCGAUUGCGAAGGCAGUUCACUGGACUGCAACUGACACUGAGGCUCGAAAGUGUGGGUAUCAAACAGGAUUAGAUACCCCGGUAGUC
rnacentral:rRNA from 1 species